AUACUAGUGAACUUAAAUCAUGUGAAAUGUACAUGUAAGAAAGGAUAAAACUGUGAGGUUAUCUUUACAUUUGACAAAGGUCAGUGGUAGGGCAAGAAUUCCUUCUUCCCCCCACCUCACCAAGACCAUUCCUUUCUGUGGCAUGUUGUGGAAGUUAAUGCAUUUUUUGAUGUGAACUGGACUCUGGGCUAAAGGAAAAAGGAGACAGGGGAAGAGCAGAGGGACAUAUUAAAAAUUAAGCAUUUUAAAUGGACAAAUGGAACUUCAUUUACUGAAAGAGAGAACAAAGAUUCUGUAAAGUGACCCUUAAAGUAUCAGAUUCCACGAUUUAGACAUUAUAGAUAAAUGCACCUUCUUUACGUGUAAAGCACUAGUGAAAAAGUACAGUCAUUUUAAAUGUAACUGUGGUGACUGAUAUUUAAGUACUCUUAUUUUGCUUUUGGUAAAUACAUGAAAUGUUUAAGACUCAAAUUUACAGCCAUUCUAAUAAUUUUUUUAAAAAAAUUAAUAUGUAUUUUCCAGUGAAGUUUGAUUUUAAAAUUGUGACCAAGUCUUUACUUUAUAUACUCUGCUAUUUAAUUAUAAUUUUAAUACUGCCUUAUGUUUUGGGUGGUUACAAUGAUUUUCUAUUGUUAGUCGAUUAGCUCUCCCUUCCUUUUCCAGUAUAAUCUGGUCAUUUGAUAUAUAAGAAAUAGAUUCGAAGAUUAUAUUUACAAGGUCACUUCACUGAUUAGAAAAGGUGAAACUCCAGGACCUAUGAUUGGUUCAUUAAGCUACUCUCUUAACCAGGCCACUGACAGACUGAAUGUCCAUGUUUUAUUUUCUUCACAGUACAUAAAUUACUAAGUAUUGUUGCAACCACUCAAGUCUGGAUUUGCAUUCCAUGCUCUGAAUAAGAUGAUUACAGAAUGCUGAUCUGCCAGUGAAUAAUUGCUGUUGAAAGGCAUUUGAGAUUUCAAAAGAUUUAGAAAAUGUGUCUUUAAAAGUAAGAUGAACAUUUUCAGACCUUUAAAAAACUGUGAACUCUCAAUUCUUGAAUAUUAGUGAGAUAAAGUUAAAUGCUAUCUAUGAAAAAGGGCAGAUCAAAUUAUAGAUGCUCUGAUUUGUGAGAGGAACUACAUUUCAGAAGAAUGAGUUUAAAAGAGAAUCCUUUAUAUUUCUAAAGAGUCAGAAAUUGGUUAAAAAGAAAAACAUAAACUGCCAGCAAAGCCUUUUAUUUAAAAGCAUAACAAGAUUAUUAUAUUUUUCUGUUUAUCUCUGAAUUAAACUGAAGGACCAAAGCUGAACAGUAAAGACACUAAAUACCCAAUAUUCUGAGUUCAGAGAGACUGCAGCUGUGGGGCAAACACUUUUCUGUUCCUUUUGGGCUUAAGAGACACCAGAAAUGGUCUUACAACCCUCAACAUCACCACAAACCCAAAUCAAUAGGAAAGGAGAACUGGAAUGAUAGGAGAUUAAAGCCUUUGAGGAGUACGGAUUGUAAGGUGACAGAACAAGAUAGAAGACCUCAAGAGACAUAUCUCUUUAGCCAGCUCUUAGCCAUCUCUUUCUGCCCUGCUCUCUGUUCAUUAAACAAAGGGAAAGGACUAGAAAGAGUUAGUGGAGUCAGGCAUGAAGGAAGCUAUAUUCCUUUACAUACUUGCCAUUUGAAAUAGGAUAGGGAGUUUUCAAUAGUCAAACUAACAGCAAGAAUGAGCUGGGCUCUGUCAUCUCAAUUUUUCACUCAGGAAGAAUACCCAUUAUCUGAAGGCACCCCAGCAACAAAGAAUGGUGGAGUGGGGCUCUUCCACAUCAGGAAACUGCAGUAGAAAGGUCCUUUCUCAUCCUCCCCAAAGAAUCCACAGGUAUAUUCUAGGGAAAAGUUAGGGCUUGGAUGGCUGCCACCCAGUUAUUUCUCUUUGAGUAAAUGUCCUGAAGUGCACUACCAGCUCUGAAAAAUGACUUUUAUUUUGUGGUCUAAAUUGGCACCAUGUCAAUGUGAGCCAAAGAAGCAGAAGUAUCAGAAGAGAGAGAUUUGCCAUCUCACUGAUCAUCACAGCAAGAGAACCAUAGUAUAAUAAUGGAUUACAGCUGAAAGAGCUGCAAAACAGAGAACCUUCCUAAGAAGUACUUCAGAAAAUCCAAAGUCAUCAAGAGGGAAGACAAAAGCAAGGACACUAGAGGAAUUUUAAGACUUCGGAAGGCAGCUGUGCUCACCACUAUACCACCAAUGAUGCAAGUUAUUUGAAGAUGUUGGUACCUACCACUAGAACAAACACAGCCCAACUCCUAGCCAGAUUAACAUCAAUUCUCACAUCAAAGGCCGAUUUAUCUCAAUUUUUAUUACUGAAAAUGAAAUACUUGAUUUUUAACAACAGAAAAAAUACAUAGUAUUAAUGCAUCUGGCUCCAGGUCAAAAUCCUAUAUAAUAUUUUGGUUCAGCCAUAGGCAAUUACAAGGUUUGCCUGGCAGGUUUGUGAGGAGGGAGGAAGAGGCUGCCCUCCCCACACUAGACUAGGUGCACAGCCAGCCAAUUAUAUUUCUCUGGAAGGAGUUGCAGACAUGCAUUUAGAAACCUUGUCCUCGGGUCACAUUUGCAUUCCUAGCCCGGACAUCUCCUUUGGGAGGCCUCCUUACUUGGGGGCCUUGGCUGAUGAAGUUCCCAGGUGCUGCUUCUAAGGUCUCCUUAUCACAAGACCUUUGUUGAAGUGCAUUUUCCUACUUUGAAUCAGUACUUUUGCACUUGUAACCCUCCCUCUUAUCCCUUCCCUUCCUCCUACCACCUUAGGUCCAUUAAAAAGGAGCCUUAUAUUUUGGGCUCUUAAUUGGGAAAUGAUUUGUCCUACCUGAGCUGCACAUUAUCUUACCAUCAUGCAUUGUCAUUCUGUGGGGGGAAAUGAAACACUAUGGAGCCAGCAUCUAUUUUUAUCUCUUGAUAACUAUCACAGUGAAUAAAUAAAACUUAAAGAAAUUCAAAAGAAUUGAAAUCAUAUAAAGUCUGUUCUGAGAGCACAAUGGAGAUAGAAAUCAAUAAUAGAAAGAUACCUGGAAAAUCUCCAAAUACUUGGAAAUUAAACAACACAUUUCUAAAUACCCACAAGGGUCAAAGAAGAAGUUUAGAAAUUAAUAAAUAUUUGGGGUUAAAUGAAAAUUAAAAGACAACUUAUCAAACUUUGUGGGAUAAAGCAAAAGCAGUGAUUAGAUAAAAUUAUAGUAUUAAAUGUAUAUUUAAGAAAAGGAAGAAAAAUCUAAAACCAACAUCCUAAGCUUCCACAUGUGAAAACAAGAGAAAUUUAAGUCUAUCUAAAGGA
rnacentral:lncRNA from 1 species